rnacentral:tRNA from 1 species
GCACUCGUAGCUCAGCUGGAUAGAGUACUUCCCUCCGAAGGAAGGGGUCGUGGGUUCGAAUCCCGCCGAGUGCGCCA